AGUGGACGCUGGCGGUAGGCCUAACACAUGCAAGUCGAACGGCAGCACAGUAAGAGCUUGCUCUUACGGGUGGCGAGUGGCGGACGGGUGAGGAAUACAUCGGAAUCUACUUUUUCGUGGGGGAUAACGUAGGGAAACUUACGCUAAUACCGCAUACGACCUACGGGUGAAAGCAGGGGAUCUUCGGACCUUGCGCGAUUGAAUGAGCCGAUGUCGGAUUAGCUAGUUGGCGGGGUAAAGGCCCACCAAGGCGACGAUCCGUAGCUGGUCUGAGAGGAUGAUCAGCCACACUGGAACUGAGACACGGUCCAGACUCCUACGGGAGGCAGCAGUUGGGAAUAUUGGACAAUGGGCGCAAGCCUGAUCCAGCCAUACCGCGUGGGUGAAGAAGGCCUUCGAGUUGUAAAGCCCUUUUGUUGGGAAAGAAAAGCAGCAGGUUAAUACCCCGCUGUUCUGACGGUACCCAAAGAAUAAGCACCGGCUAGCUUCGUG
rnacentral:rRNA from 1 species